UGCCUCAGCCUCCCAAAGUGCUGGGAUUACAGGCGUGAGCCACUGCACCUGGCCUCUCUCAUUAUUUUUUAUUUAUCCUUCUUGACACUCAGUGGCCCUUAUAAAUUUGGAGACUUGAGUUGUUUUUCAGCUUUUAGAAAUCGAUUUCUAUCAUUUCUGUAAUUAUUUCCACUUUCCAUUGGCACUUCUCCCAUGGGCAUUUCUAAGAUUUUGGAAUAUUCUUUGUGCUUCUAACUCUCAAACACUUUCCACAUUUGGAUCUUUUGGCUAGUUUCCUGGGAGAAUCUUUUUAAAAAUAUUUCAACUAAUUUGCUUUUCAAUUGAGUGCAUUUUACCUUUUAGAUCACCCAUGAAUUUUUUGACAAUUAUAUUUAAAAGAUUCUGAGAUCACCAGGUAUUUCUUUGUAAGGUAUAAAUAAUCUUCUCUAAUAUCCUUGUCAUAAUUAGUUACACUUGUUAUAUUUAUUAAUUAGGUUGCUGUUAGUGCUUCUUUCCAUCGAGUUUGGUGUAUUUGACUCCUGGCACAGGGUUUGCCCAAAUGCUUGUGGAUUUGUCUUUUCCUUUGAAAUCCUUGUCCACUGGGCUCUUGUGUUUCUAGGAGUCAGUCAUGGUCCAUUGGGCUCUUGUGUUUCUAGGAGUCAGUCAUGGUCUGUUGGGGUCUUCUGUUUCUAGGAGUCAGUCGUGGGUAGCAACUGCAGGUGAGGCGCUAUUUGAGGGCUCUCAGGAUGGAUGAGUUCUUUCUCGGAUGCUAGCAGCUCCCUGGGCACGCUCCUCAUUCUCUUGCUCAGGAAAUCUCACUUCCUGCCUUCUCAGGGGCAAAUGCUCUUCCCGACCACUGCUCCGUAAAGGGGAAGAAGAUGUAGGGGCCAGAGGGGUCCAGGUGCUUCUGUUGUGGUUACCAUGUUAACUACCCACCACAACUAUCCCAGAGCAGUUUUUAUCUGUGGAGCCUUAACUCGGAGCUCCUCAAAACCCAUGUCUAGUCAAUAGCAUUUUCUCAUAAUUGUCUUUCAGAUUUCUUCCAGGCUGUUUUCCCCCAUAUUCUUUCUUUGUUGGCUUAAUACACUUUCUUUCUUUUAGGAAUUCUGCAGGCCUCCUGCUGUGGAUUGAAUAUUUCUGUCCCUCCACAAUUCUUAUAUGGGCCCCCUAGUCCCCAUUGUGAUGGUAUUUGGAGACAGGGCCUUUGGGUGCAGAUGUUAUGAGGCCAGAGACCUCAUGGUGGGAUUAGUGUUCUUAUGAGAAGACCAUGAGAGCAGGCUUCCUCUCUGCUCCCCCUGCCACGUGGGACACAAUGAGGAGACAGCACGUCUCACGCGGAUGCAGCCUUCACCAGGCACUGCAUCUGCCAGCGAUUUGGUCCUCUCAGCCUACAGAACUUUGAGAAAUAAAUGUGUGUUGUUUAAGCCACCCAGUCUGUGGUAUUUUUCGUUAUAGCAUCCCAAACUGAUUUAGAGACCUUCUUAUACUCUUUCUUGAAUUUUUUUUUCCUUUUUUAAAAAAUUCUAUUAUUUCAUGAGAGGUAGGAUAGAAGUGAUUUGCUCACUCUGAUUGUUGGCUGGUUUGUUUCUCUCCUGAAUUUUCAGCAGUAAACACAGGGCACACCACUGGGCUACAUUGUUCCUGAGGGAACUGGCUCACAGCAAAGUGGGGUGGACACAAAGGUUGUCGCAUCUCCCCGAGGUUUCCAGUUCUGUGCGUUCUCCCACUCUGGAAGACUCAAGAAUCUUAAAAAUCAUUUAUGUGCAAUUCUAAAAGAUGAAGUAGUUAUUUCCUGGGGGAGUCUACAUUUUUGAAAGAAUCUAAGUCACGUCUUAAAGCGUUGCACGUACUUACAAGCAAUCUGGGAAAGUUACAGGCAAAGGUAAAGGGCCGGGAGGUCACAGGCAAAGGUAAAGGGCCUGGAGGUCACGCACAUUCCCGCCAGUAGGCCACGUACACUGCCGCCACGCGGUCACGCACACUGCCGCGGGAGUUCACGCACACUGACGUGGGAGGUCACGCACACUGCCGCCGGGAGGCCGCGCACACUGCCGCUGUUGUGUGGGUUUGUGUUGAAGGUAAAGGGCCGGGAGGCCGCGCACACUGCCGCUGUUGUCCGGGUUUGUGUUGAAGGUAAAGGGCCGGGAGGCCGCGCACACUGCCGCUGUUGUCCGGGUUUGUGUUGAAGGUAAAGGGCCGGGAGGCCGCGCACACUGCCGCUGUUGUCCGGGUUUGUGUUGAAGGUAAAGGGCCGGGAGGCCGCGCACACUGCCGCUGUUGUCCGGGUUUGUGUUGAAGGUAAAGGGCCGGGAGGCCGCGCACACUGCCGCUGUUGUCUGGGUUUGUGUUGAAGGUAAGGAACAUCCGUGCUCAUUUUCAAACUUAGGUUUACGUGUUCUCCCCAGGUUCUUUUGUUCUUUUGUCAUAUCAAAGAGGUCUUGAGUUACUGGUGUUCAAUCAAAGAGGACAAAUGUAUCAUUAUUAUAUCUUAACAUCCUAUUUAUUAUUAAUUACAUGCUAGUGCUAUUCUGGAAGGCCCCAGAAGUUCCAGAUAGUGAAUCUUAGUUGAAAAUGUAUUAUUACAUAAUUUGAAUAAGAAAUAUUUUGUUAAAUUCACAACAUAUUGAUGGAGAAUCAACUUAUUCAUUUUGAUACAAUAAGCUUUUAUAUUUUAGAGUUUCUGAAAACACAUAGUUUUUUUCUUAAUAUUAUAGAUUAUGCUAAAGAUAACUUGGAAAUCAGUUGGUCAAAUGCCCUAAUUUAAUAGACAAGGACAUGAAGGUAAAGAAAUAAGAUAGGUGAAGUAUGCUCACUCAACUGGCCGUCGGCUGCAAAUGGAAAGCAAAGUUUUACUCCAGCCCCCAAGUCCUCAUUCUUUCCAUCCUGACAUGCUGCACACAAGGAGAGCUUCCAGUGAAUAUUUGUCCCUAAUCAGGAAUUAUUCCAAAGAGCAAACCUGAGUAUAAGAAAUUAAAGAAACUAUUUUCUUUUUCAUCAAAUCUCUUUAAUAAACUUUAAAAAUAGCAUUUCCAGUAACUCGUGCCUGAUUUCUCUGGAACAAAAAGAAAGCAGAAAGUAAAACAGGAAAUACACAGGCAGUCCUUGAACUGAUGGAAUCAUUUUAACAAAUAUUAAACAGUGAAUAGCACAUUAUAUUUUUACUGCGUGCAGCUUAUGUCUUAUUUUUUACAUUUUACUUAAUGGUCCCUGACUUUUCUGAUACUUUUUGUAAGCAGAAACAAAAUAAUGGGGUGCUUUUUCAUGAAACUAGGUCACCCCUCAUAAUCACUACCACAAGUUACAUAUUCAUGCUUAAAUGUAGCAAUUGUUUUUCAAUCAGAAGUUGAAAUGAUGUAUCAUGUGGGGACUCUUUCCUCGCAAAUGGUAAUAAAUUCUUUAGAAAAAUGCUCACUGGGAGGAAGAGUUAUGGUAACUCACUGGAGGCAAAUGCUUCUUAGAUAUCAUAUGGAAUUAAUGCAGUGACCCAAAAUGUGAGUGUGCGUGUGUAUGUGUGUGUGUGAGACUGUGUGUGUGAGUGUGUGCGUAUGUCUGCGUGUGUAUGUGUGGUGUGUGUGCGUGUGUGUGUAUGUGGGUGUGUAUGUGUGUGUGAGUGCGUGUGUAUGUGUGGUGUAUGAGUGUGACUGGUGUGUGAGUGUGCGUAUGUGUGGUGUAUGUGUGUGAGUGUGUGACUGAGUUGUGUGAUGUGUGUGAGUGUGCGUGUGUAUGUGUGGUGUGCCAAUGUGUGCUUGACAACACAAUUUAUGCAAUCUGGAAAAUGUCAGUCUUUCAAAAUGAUAAAAAUGUUUGAAUUGCUUAAAAAAUCAGUCAUUUGGCAUAAAGUUAAACACUUAAAACAGUGGAAAUAAUAUUAGCAAUAGCUUAACCAAGUGCUGUUUAUAUGCUAGACACUUUUAUAAACUUUUACUUUUGAUUUAAUCCAUUCAAUCCUUACACUACAGGACAGACAUUACCGUUACUCCCAUAUUAGAGGGGCAUGGAAACUUGCUCAAAGUCAAACAUCAGGGAAGUCACAGAGCCGGGGUUGCAGCCAAGCCGUCCGACUUGCCAUUCAAGCCUUCAACUGUCUCCAGGCUAACCCUCCCAGAGCGCCUCACCCCCUUUACUUUCCUAUCCAGCAGCCAGUAUUGUUACCAGAAGCCUAGGAGUACUCAGGAUUUUAUGUACUUUAAGUUGACGUGUGUGUGUGUGUGUGUGUGUGUGUGUGUGUGCGCGCAUGUAGGAAGGUAAUGGUAGUGGUGGUGGAUUUUUAAAUUGUUUUUUUUGGUAGUGAAUUCAUUUGUGAUCUACUUUUUGAUAAUUUAAACAAUCUAACUUCUUAAUUCUUUUCCC
rnacentral:lncRNA from 1 species